UACAGAGGUCUCAAGCGUUGUUCGGAUUCAUUGGGCGUAAAGGGCGCGUAGGCGGCGGGGUAAGUCGGGUGUGAAAUCUCAGAGCUCAACUCUGAAACUGCACUCGAUACUGCUCUGCUUGAGGACUGGAGAGGGGACUGGAAUUCACGGUGUAGCAGUGAAAUGCGCAGAUAUCUGGGGGAAGGCCGGCGGCGAAGGCGCCAUUCUGGGAAAUUCCUGACACUGAGGCACGAAAGCGUGGGGAGCAAACAGG
rnacentral:rRNA from 1 species